rnacentral:rRNA from 1 species
UACGUAGGGUGCAAGCGUUAAUCGGAAUUACUGGGCGUAAAGCGUGCGCAGGCGGUUAUGUAAGACAGAUGUGAAAUGCCCGGGCUUAACCUGGGAACUGCAUUUGUGACUGCAUGGCUAGAGUUUGGCAGAGGGGGGUAGAAUUCCACGUGUAGCAGUGAAAUGCGUAGAUAUGUGGAGGAACACCGAUGGCGAAGGCAGCCCCCUGGGUCAAGACUGACGCUCAUGCACGAAAGCGUGGGGAGCAAACGAGGAUUACGAAACCCCG